rnacentral:rRNA from 1 species
UACGGAGGGAGCUAGCGUUGUUCGGAUAUACUGGGCGUAAAGCGCACGUAGGCGGCGCAGCAAGUCAGGGGUGAAAUCCCGGAGCUCAACUCCGGAACUGCCUUUGAAACUGCAGUGCUAGAAUCCUGGAGAGGCGAGUGGAAUUCCGAGUGUAGAGGUGAAAUUCGUAGAUAUUCGGAAGAACACCAGUGGCGAAGGCGACUCGCUGGACAGGUAUUGGCGCUGAGGUGCGAAAUCGUGGGGAGCAAACAGG